rnacentral:rRNA from 1 species
ACUCAAAGGAAUAGACGGGGGCUCACACAAGCGGUGGAGCAUGUGGAUCAAUUCGAAGCAACGCGCAGAACCUUACCUAGGUUUGACAUGCACGGAUGCCCUCGGGGAAACUCGAGUAAGCUGCCUUUGGUGAAACGUGCACAGGUGCUGCAUGGCUGUCGUCAGCUCGUGCUGUGAAGUGUCGGGUUAAGUCCCUUAACGAGCGAAACCCUUAUCGCUAGUUGCCAGCGGGUCAAGCCGGGAACUCUAGUGAGACUGCCGGCGUCAAGCCGGAGGAAGGUGGGGACGACGUCAAGUCAUCAUGGCCUUUAUGCCUAGGGUGUCACACGUGCUACAAUGGGGUGUCACAGAGCGAUGCAAGACCGCAAGGUGGAGCAAAUCGCAGAAAACACCCCUCAGUUCGGAUUGAGGUCUGCAACCCGACCUCAUGAAGCUGGAAUCGCUAGUAAUCGCGUAUCAGCCAUGACGCGGUGAAUAUGUUCCUGAGCCUUGCACACACCGCCCGU